GAAGAAAAUUAAAAUUCAAAUAGGAUGAUUGAUUACUAAUUUCAUUUAUGAGUCAAAUAACGCAGCCACAUUCUUAAAAUGCAAAUGCAUUUCUGGAAAUGCAUUUGCAUUUGAAUUUUGGUAACGAUUUGCUUCCAUAGGUUUCUUCUUGCACCAUGGCAUGCCCAUUUCUUAAUGACGUGUUGGACGACGAAGCACUGAUACUGAGACGUGCUUUCAGACGUGAGAGUGUUUCGUGACAGAUCUUUUCUUUGGCUUUUUCGGACGAGUACCUGCACGAGAGGUAUAGGUUUUCUGGAGAUGGGAUCCGUUAUUUGUGUAGACUGCUGGGUCCCAAAAUUCAGCACCGCACAGGGCGAAGCCAUGCUCUCACCAUCCCACAGAUGGUCUGUGUGGCACUGCGCUUUUUCGCAAGCGGCAUGUUUUUAUAUGCCGUGGGAGAUGCCGAAACCUUGAAUAAAGGUACUAUUUGCCGUACGGUCAGAAGUGUGUGUUUGGCACUGAAGUCCUUGGCACACAUCUUCAUUACCUUCCCUGGCCACAGAAGAAUGUGUUACAUCAAUGUAAUCAAUGGUGCGCUGGACUGCACACACAUCCGAAUUAAACGCCCCUCAGGGGCCCAUGAGGGAGAUUAUGUCAAUCGAAAAUCCUUCCACAGUAUCAAUGUUCAGAUGAUCUGUGACGCUUCCUGCAUGAUCACCAAUGUGGAGGCAAAGUGGCCUGGGUCUGUCCAUGACUCCCGAGUUUUCAGGUCCAGUACCAUUUCCCAGCGACUGUCACAAGGUGAAUUCUCUGGUGUUCUUCUGGGAGACAAGGGUUAUGCCUGUGAGACAUACCUUCUCACUCCACUAGCAGACCCUCAGACAGCAGCACAGCAAGGGUACAAUCUUGCCCAUGCAAGAACAAGGGG